AUGGCGUGUGGGCUGAGCUGGCUUCUCCUGGUGGCUAUGUUAGGAGGGACCCAGUGUGAGGUGCAGCUGGUGGAGUCUGGGGGAGACUUGGUGCAGCCCGGGGGAUCCCUGAGACUCUCCUGUGCAGCCUCUGGAUUCACCUUAAGUGACUACUGGAUGAACUGGUUCCGUCAGGCUCCAGGGAAGGGCCUAGAGUGGGUCUCAACCAUUAGUGGUGGUGGUGGUACAUCCUAUGCCAACUCUGUAAAGAGCCGAUUCACCAUCUCUAGGGAAAACAGUAAGAACAAACUCUCUCUGCAAAUGAGCAGCCUGAGGGAGGAGAACACGGCCCUGUACUUCGAGACACAAUGA